CGGGGGAGCAAGCGUUGUUCGGAUUUACUGGGCGUAAAGGGCGCGUAGGCGGCGCAACAAGUCACUUGUGAAAUCUCCGGGCUUAACCCGGAGCGGCCAAGUGAUACUGCCGUGCUAGAGUGCGGAAGGGGCUACUGGAAUUCUCGGUGUAGCGGUGAAAUGCGUAGAUAUUGAGAGGAACACCUGCGGCGAAGGCGGGUAGCUGGGCCGACACUGACGCUGAGGCGCGAAAGCCAGGGGAGCGAACGGGAUUAGAUACCCCGGUAGUCCUGGCCUUAAACGAUGGAUACUUGGUGUCCGGGGUUACAUAGUCCCCGGGUGCCGGCGCUAACGCAUUAAGUAUCCCGCCUGGGGAGUACGGUCGCAAGACUG
rnacentral:rRNA from 1 species